rnacentral:lncRNA from 1 species
GUGUCCUUGGUGAUUCAGGUUUAAGGAUUGUGCUGCAUCUAAUGUACCACGAGUCACAGCCAGCUGCACUCAAACUGUAUGCAUUUGAUUUUAAUACAGAUUUUUUAUGAAAUGAGCCAGAGAGAAAAGUUGAAUAUACUUCAGAGACCAAAGUCUGUUUCUAUCAACAAAUAGGGGGAACUCUGCAUGGUUACCAAGGCCAACAUCCUAGUUACAAAGACCAACAUCCUGUUUCCAGAGGGGAUCUCUCAGAGCAAUACCUACACAUCCGCAGCCACAAAAUCAGAACACUGCAUUCCUUCUGAUUCAGUGCUCACACAGGGGUGGGGUGGAAAUUAGUUUUGUGCAUUAAAGUAAUAUCAAAACUCUGUUGGUGUUAGUUUCAUUGUAAGAGACUGUUCUACCUCUGCCUGUGUUCUCUCAGCCCAGGACUAGCGAUGCACUCUGCAGCAGAGGCCCAGCAGCAGCAGAGCUAGGGUGACUCCCAGGAACAAUGCCAGCGAAGCGGGAGGGAGAGGGAUGCCAGAUAGCAGUUCUCUGGGUAAACUGGAGAACAGCCUGUUACUACACAUGCGGGAGGAGGAGGGCGCAAAGGUCCGGGUCAUGGAGCUGAAGUCAGAAUGUCCCAGAGUGCCCUGCAACGCCAAACAUGACAACACUCAUGGACAGCAGCAGGACACGUGGUGUGGAGAAGGCCUUUCUCAACAUCAUUCACACUGCAUCUGUAUCUGCCCUCGUCAUCGUACUAUGAGGAUGAAGUGCAGGAGAUGGAGAUAGGGAUGGAGUUGGAGAAUAAGGAGGAUGUGAGGCCUAGAGUAAAAAACAACAGCCUACAAGACACAACAGACAUCAAUCAGAAUGCUGACCACCUCAAGAGUUAACUAUGCAGAACCCUAAUAACAACAACAGUCUACAACCAGAUCAUACUGAAACCGUCCAAAUACAGGAGGCCCCUACAUUAAACCCCAGUCUACAGGGCCCCUCAGAGGACAUCAUCAGGCCACAGGUCCCUACAGAAGACAUCAGCUGUAUGGAUCCCACUGACAACCCAGGAUAAGAUAAUAUAUUGCAGAACAGCUGGCGUUGUGGUCCCAAAGC